UGGGGAAUAUUGGACAAUGGGCGCAAGCCUGAUCCAGCCAUGCCGCGUGAGUGAUGAAGGCCCUAGGGUUGUAAAGCUCUUUCACCGGUGAAGAUAAUGACGGUAACCGGAGAAGAAGCCCCGGCUAACUUCGUGCCAGCAGCCGCGGUAAUACGAAGGGGGCUAGCGUUGUUCGGAUUUACUGGGCGUAAAGCGCACGUAGGCGGACUUUUAAGUCAGGGGUGAAAUCCCGGGGCUCAACCCCGGAACUGCCUUUGAUACUGGAAAGUCUUGAGUAUGGUAGAGGUGAGUGGAAUUCCGAGUGUAGAGGUGAAAUUCGUAGAUAUUCGGAGGAACACCAGUGGCGAAGGCGGCUCACUGGACCAUUACUGACGCUGAGGUGCGAAAGCGUGGGGAGCAAACAGGAUUAGAUACUCUGGUAGUCCACGCCGUAAACGAUGAAUGUUAGCCGUUGGGGAGUUUACUCUUCGGUGGCGCAGCGUAACGCAUUAAACAUUCCGCCUGGGGAGUACGGUCGCAAGA
rnacentral:rRNA from 1 species